rnacentral:rRNA from 1 species
GUAUAUUAAAGUUGUUGCAGUUAAAAAGCUCGUAGUUGAAUUUCGGGGUCAGUAGGUUGGUCGUGCCUAUGGUAUGCACUGGCUUUACUGAUUCCUCCUUCUUGAAGAACUGUAAUGUCAUUAAUUUGGUGUUGCAGGGAAACAGGACUGUUACUUUGAAAAAAUUAGAGUGUUUAAAGCAGGCA